rnacentral:rRNA from 1 species
UCGGAGUGCUUGCACUCUGUGAAACAAGAUACAGGCUAGCGGCGGACGGGUGAGUAACACGUGGGUAACCUGCCCAAGAGAUCGGGAUAACACCUGGAAACAGAUGCUAAUACCGGAUAACAACAGAUGAUGCCUAUCAACUGUUUAAAAGAUGGUUCUGCUAUCACUCUUGGAUGGACCUGCGGUGCAUUAGCUAGUUGGUAGGGUAACGGCCUACCAAGGCGAUGAUGCAUAGCCGAGUUGAGAGACUGAUCGGCCACAUUGGGACUGAGACACGGCCCAAACUCCUACGGGAGGCAGCAGUAGGGAAUCUUCCACAAUGGACGCAAGUCUGAUGGAGCAACGCCGCGUGAGUGAAGAAGGGUUUCGGCUCGUAAAGCUCUGUUGUUGGUGAAGAAGGACAGGGGUAGUAACUGACCUUUGUUUGACGGUAAUCAAUUAGAAAGUCACGGCUAACUACGUGCCAGCAGCCGCGGUAAUACGUAGGUGGCAAGCGUUGUCCGGAUUUAUUGGGCGUAAAGCGAGUGCAGGCGGCUCGAUAAGUCUGAUGUGAAAGCCUUCGGCUCAACCGGAGAAUUGCAUCAGAAACUGUCGAGCUUGAGUACAGAAGAGGAGAGUGGAACUCCAUGUGUAGCGGUGAAAUGCGUAGAUAUGUGGAAGAACACCGGUGGCGAAGGCGGCUCUCUGGUCUGUUACUGACGCUGAGGCUCGAAAGCAUGGGUAGCGAACAGGAUUAGAUACCCUGGUAGUCCAUGCCGUAAACGAUGAGUGCUAAGUGUUGGGAGGUUUCCGCCUCUCAGUGCUGCAGCUAACGCAUUAAGCACUCCG